UACGUAGGGGGCGAGCGUUGUCCGGAGUUACUGGGCGUAAAGGGCGUGCAGGCGGUGCGGUAAGUUUGGCGUGACAGUACCCGGCUUAACUGGGUAAGGCCUUCAAAAACUGCCGGACUUGAGGGCCAGAGAGGGACAUAGAAUUCCGGGUGGAGUGGUGAAAUGCGUAGAUAUCCGGAGGAAUACCAAAGGCGAAGGCAGUGUCCUGGCUGGCAUCUGACGCUGAGGCGCGAAAGCUAGGGGAGCGAACAGG
rnacentral:rRNA from 1 species